AGUGAACGCUGGCGGUAGGCCUAACACAUGCAAGUCGAACGGCAGCACAGUAAGAGCUUGCUCUUACGGGUGGCGAGUGGCGGACGGGUGAGGAAUACAUCGGAAUCUACUUUUUCGUGGGGGAUAACGUAGGGAAACUUACGCGAAUACCGCAUACGACCUACGGGUGAAAGCAGGGGAUCUUCGGACCUUGCGCGAUUGAAGGAGCCGAUGUCGGAUUAGCUAGUUGGCGGGGUAAAGGCCCACCAAGGCGACGAUCCGUAGCUGGUCUGAGAGGAUGAUCAGCCACACUGGAACUGAGACACGGUCCAGACUCCUACGGGAGGCAGCAGUGGGGAAUAUUGGACAAUGGGCGCAAGCCUGAUCCAGCCAUACCGCGUGGGUGAAGAAGGCCUUCGGGUUGUAAAGCCCUUUUGUUGGGAAAGAAAAGCAGCAGGUUAAUACCCCGCUGUUCUGACGGUACCCAAAGAAUAAGCACCGGCUAACUUCGUG
rnacentral:rRNA from 1 species